GGCUCGAUCGUCUAACGGCUAGGACGCGGGGCUUUCAUCCCCGCAAUCGGGGUUCGAUUCCCCGUCGAGUCA
rfam:Microgenomates (Amesbacteria) bacterium GW2011_GWC2_45_19 TX05_C0002, whole genome shotgun sequence.